CCUUAUUCAUGAGGUUAUGCUCCAAGACCCCCCAAUGGAUGUCUGAAACCUUGGAAACUGCCAAACCAUGGUCUCUCUCUGUUGCCCAGGCAGGAGUGCAAUGGUGCCUGAACUCCUGGGCUUAAGCCAGCCUCCCACCUCCACCUCUCAGAAUGCACCCACAUCCCUUCCCUGUGUCCUGCUCCGCUGCCCUCUUCCUGUCCUCCGGACCUUGCGACAGCUGACACUUGGAACAACCUGAAAAACCUCCCACAUGUCCAGCCAUCUGCGGAAGGAACUGACUUCUGUCCCGCAGCUCUUCUCCAAAGG